GCCUUGCCAUGUAAACUGUAUUUUUAGUUCCCUGUGCCUCUCCCCGGCUGCUAUAAGACACCUCUCCCCACCCCCAGCCCUGGCCGCUUGGCUGGAGGCUCUGCGAGGACAGCUGGGGAGAAGGGGAGCUGUGAUGGAGGCUCGCUCUGUUGCCAGGCUGGAGUACAGCGAUCUCGGCUCACUGCAACCUCUGCCUCCCGGGUUCAAGUGAUUCUCCUGCCUCAGCCUCCCAAGUAGCUGGGACUACAGGUUCGUGCCACCAUGCCCAGCUAAUUUUUGUAUUUUUAGUAGAGACAGGGCUUGAACAUGUUAGCCAGGAUAGUCUCGAUCUCUUGACCUUGUGAUCCACCCACCUCAGCCUCC
rnacentral:lncRNA from 1 species